rnacentral:rRNA from 1 species
GGCGGAUGGGUGAGGAACACGUGGGUGUCUGCCUUUCGGUGAGGAAUACCGGCGAGAAAUCGCCGACAAUACCGCAUACGUUUCGUAAGAAACAAAGCUCGCAAGAGCGCCGGAAGAUGAGCCUGCGGCUGAUUAGCUAGUUGGUGGGGUAACAGCUUACCAAGGCGACGAUCAGUAGCUGGUCUGAGAGGACGAUCAGCCACACUGGGAUUGAGAACGGCCCAGACUCCUACGGGGGGCAGCAGUGAGGAAUUUUCGUCAAUGGGGCAACCCUGAACGAGCAACGCCGCGUGCAGGAUGACGGCCUUCGGGUUGUAAACUGCUUUUCUCUGGGACGAGAAGGGACGGUACCAGAGGAAUCAGCCUCGGCUAACUACGUGCCAGCAGCCGCGGUAAUACGUAGGAGGCA